GUUUCUCUGAAAUGAAAGACGAUCAGCAGAAACCUGUGUGCUUCCAACCAGCAAACAAAAACAGAGUCAGAGGUGUGGACGGACAGAUUGGUGGACAGAUGGAGGGCAGGGGGGAUGGCAUCGUGGCGAGCGGUCGCUGCCAGUGGUGUCACUUCCUGGGAGAAAAUAGAGCAGGAAGCUGGAGACAGAUCCAGCAAGAGCGGGCUUCGCCUCUGCAAGGAAGCGUUUUUCCCUCCCAACGGUGAGCAUGUGAGGCUGCCUUACUCAUUUACUGUCACACUCAGGAUGUACGAGCGUUCUGUUUUACAUCUACUUAUAGAAAUACAGCAGUCAGUAAACCCAAGUACCUAUAGAUUUUCUCUCCUCCUAUUGAUUUACAUGUAAUCCAGGGUCUACUUGUUGUAUAUAUGAAUCAGUUCAAUUCAUUUGCUAGAUGUCACAUUAUUACAGCAGCACCAAAUUAUUUAUUCCAACAUCCAUUCCCAUAUUUUGUACAAAGAUUGUGGUUCAUUAAACGAAUGCUGGAUACACACUGUAAGCGCUAUGGCAUAUGGCCCCCGUAGAUUUCCUUUUUGAAAGAAGUGUCUCAUGUAUGAAAUAAAGUGUAGUGUGCAGUA